rnacentral:rRNA from 1 species
UCCAGGCAAAUCCGGGCCUCACAUACUCUGAGACGUGAUACCGAGCCGCUUCAGGCGAACUCAUUAAUCCUAUGCUGCCUAGGAAAGCCCAGUAGCGAGUUGACAUGGUGCCCGUACCCCAAACCAACACAGGUGGACAGGUAGAGCAUACCAAGGCGAGUGGGAUAACUAUGGUUAAGGAACUCGGCAAAUUUCCUCCGUAACUUCGGGAUAAGGAGGACCCCAGUAGCGUGACGAGACUUGCUCUCCGAGCGUGAAGGGGUGGCACAAAAUUGAGGGAAGCGACUGUUUACCAAAAACACAGCAGCGUGCUAAGCCGUAAGGCGCUGUAUACGCUGUGACUCCUGCCCGGUGCUGGAAGGUUACGGGGAUGGGUUAGUCCUUCGGGACGAAGCUCUGAACCUAAGCCCCAGUAAACGGCGGCCGUAACUAUAACGGUCCUAAGGUAGCGAAAUUCCUUGUCGGGUAAGUUCCGACCUGCACGAAUGGAGUAACGACUUCCCUACUGUCUCAACCAUAGACCCAGCGAAAUUGAAGUACGAGUAAAGAUGCUCGUUAGCUGCAGAAGGACGGGAAGACCCCGUGGACCUUUACUAUAACUUGAUGUUGUGUUUUGUCAUAUGUUGUGUAGGAUAGGUGGGAGACAAGGAAGCAUGGACGCUAGUCCGUGUGGAGUCAUCGUUGAAAUACCACCCUGCAUAUGGUGAGGCUCUAACCUAGACCCGUUAUCCGGGUUGGGGACAGCGUCAGGCGGGUAGUUUAACUGGGGCGGUUGCCUCCUAAAGAGUAACGGAGGCGCCCAAAGGUUCCCUCAGCCUGGUUGGCAAUCAGGCGUCGAGUGCAAUGGCAAAAGGGAGCUUGACUGCGAGACCUACAAGUCGAGCAGGAGCGAAAGCUGGGCAUAGUGAUCCGGCGGUUGCGUGUGGAAGCGCCGUCGCUCAACGGAUAAAAGGUACCCCGGGGAUAACAGGCUAAUCUUGCCCAAGCGUCCAUAGCGACGGCAAGGUUUGGCACCUCGAUGUCGGCUCAUCGCAUCCUGGGGCUGAAGCAGGUCCCAAGGGUUGGGCUGUUCUCCCAUUAAAGCGGUACGCGAGCUGGGUUCAGAACGUCGUGAGACAGUUCGGUCCCUAUCCUCUGUAGCCGUAGGUGAAUUGAGGAAAGCUGUCCCUAGUACGAGAGGACCGGGACGGACGCAGCUCUCGUGUGCCAGUUGUCCUGCCAAGGGCAUGGCUGGUUAGCGACCUGCGGAAAGGAUAACCGCUGAAAGCAUCUAAGCGGGAAGCCUCUUCCAAGAUGAAUUCACCCACAGGGUUAACCUGGUAAGGCCCGUGGUAGACCACCACGUUGAUAGGCCGGAAGUGUAAGCGUGGCAACACGUUCAGCUGACCGGUACUAAUCGGCCGAGGGCUUGAAGC